UGCGAGUUAGCUUAAGGGGAGAGCGCUUGACUCAUAAUCAAGUAAGUGUGGGUUCGAAUCCCAUGCUCGCUA
rnacentral:tRNA from 1 species